CCUGCAUUACCUUUCAAGCAUUCAAUUCCAGCACUUUUCAAACCUUCAAUGAUCAUUUCAUAUCUUUUCCUUAAUCUUUCUCUAUUGACCUUGAUGUAAUUAUCAGUGAAACUUUCAUCUGACAACAUUGAUGCUAAAAGAUGUUGUGUUUGUGAAGAUAUUAAGGUAAAACUCGACAUUCUUCGUGCUGUUGUAACAACUUUAUCGUUGUAGGAAUAAAUUGUUCCGACUCUGAAACCUGGUAGACCGAGAUCUUUAGAAAGACUAUAAACAAUGUGACAUCUUUCCGCGUCUUUGUAUUGACGAGAUUCAAGAAUCUCGGCUAUGCUUAUGAAUUCAUGUGAAGAGAAAACUGAGCCCGAGUAGAUUUCGUCUGAGACAAGGUGUAUGUUCUUGCGAGUCACGAAGUUCAGAAUGUCCUCGAGAACUGAACGUUGAAUCGAUAUGCCUAAUGGAUUUGAUGGGUUGGUUAUAAGUACUGCUUUUACUUUCAUGUUCAUGGAUUCUGCAUUUUUGUAUGCAGUUUCUAAUGCUUCAAGUGUGAUUUGAAAAUUGUUUGAGCUAUCACAAUGGAUUGGAAUUAUGUUUACACCAGUUCUCCAUCUCAAAUCUCUAUCAAAUCUGCAAAAUCAAAAAAUAUAUACAUUAGUUUAA
rnacentral:lncRNA from 1 species